rnacentral:rRNA from 1 species
ACGAACGCUGGCGGCGUGCUUAACACAUGCAAGUCGAACGGAAGGGCCCUGCUUUUGUGGGGUGCUCGAGUGGCGAACGGGUGAGUAACACGUGAGUAACCUGCCCUUGACUUUGGGAUAACUUCAGGAAACUGGGGCUAAUACCGGAUAGGAGCUCCUGCUGCAUGGUGGGGGUUGGAAAGUUUCGGCGGUUGGGGAUGGACUCGCGGCUUAUCAGCUUGUUGGUGGGGUAGUGGCUUACCAAGGCUUUGACGGGUAGCCGGCCUGAGAGGGUGACCGGCCACAUUGGGACUGAGAUACGGCCCAGACUCUUACGGGAGGCAGCAGUGGGGAAUAUUGCACAAUGGGCGGAAGCCUGAUGCAGCAACGCCGCGUGCGGGAUGACGGCCUUCGGGUUGUAAACCGCUUUCGCCUGUGACGAAGCGUGAGUGACGGUAAUGGGUAAAGAAGCACCGGCUAACUACGUG